CAGCAGCCGCGGGAAUACGUAGGGGGCAAGCGUUAUCCGGAAUUACUGGGUGUAAAGGGAGCGUAGACGGUUAAACAAGUCUGAAGUGAAAUGCCGGGGCUCAACCCCGGAGCUGCUUUGGGAACUGUAGAACUGGAGUGUCGGAGGGGUAAGCGGAAUUCCCAGUGCAGCGGUGAAAUGCGUAGAUAUUGGGAGGAACACCGGCGGCGAAGGCGGCUUACUGGACGACAACUGACGUUGAGGCUCGAAGGCGUGGGUAGCAAACAGGAUUAGAUACCCCCGUAGUCCCUGUCUCUUAUAC
rnacentral:rRNA from 1 species